rnacentral:rRNA from 1 species
UACACUCCUGCGGGAGGCAGCAGUGGGGAAUUUUGGACAAUGGGCGAAAGCCUGAUCCAGCAAUGCCGCGUGAGUGAAGAAGGCCUUCGGGUUGUAAAGCUCUUUUGUCAGGGAAGAAACGGUGAAAGCUAAUAUCUUUUGCUAAUGACGGUACCUGAAGAAUAAGCACCGGCUAACUACGUGCCAGCAGCCGCGGUAAUACGUAGGGUGCAAGCGUUAAUCGGAAUUACUGGGCGUAAAGCGUGCGCAGGCGGUUUUGUAAGUCUGAUGUGAAAUCCCCGGGCUCAACCUGGGAAUUGCAUUGGAGACUGCAAGGCUAGAAUCUGGCAGAGGGGGGUAGAAUUCCACGUGUAGCAGUGAAAUGCGUAGAUAUGUGGAGGAACACCGAUGGCGAAGGCAGCCCCCUGGGUCAAGAUUGACGCUCAUGCACGAAAGCGUGGGGAGCAAACAGGAUUAGAAACCCGAGUAGUCCCAUGA